UAAUCGAGUAAUAAAGGGAACGGAACCUUCGGUGGCACUUACCAGAUUCCAGGCAGGAAGAGCUCGUCUGAAGUGGGGAGCGGAGAGAGAGGCAGGUCUAGAUGCAGAUGGUCUGUUUCCCCUAACAACAGCAACGGCGGCGAGGAGAAAUCCUGGUCUCCGCCAGCUCCCGGCCAGACUCGUAAUCAGGCCACUAACGACAGCGGGGAGCGUAAAAGUUCUCUUCCCUACCCACCUCGCGUGAUGCGGUGACACAGAAUGAAAUUCACAACACACAUGGAGAAAAGGAAAACAACCAAUCCUUCCCCAGAACGGAACAGCUAAGAGCCAACGCUACUGAAAACCAUGGGGCAGGCAUCUCCACCGAGUGCAGGGAAGAGGCCAGGAGAAGACCCAGGAAAUAAAUUUAAAAAGGGACAGCCUUUGAGCUGGUCCCUGACCGGUGAGCAAGACUUAGCUGUUCAGGAAAGCUGUGUGGCUGGAGCAGAGAAUAUACUGGAAAUCAGAGAGGUCAAAAACAAUGAGCAGGAGAUAUCGGAAGAAAUGUUCCUAACCACUUCACUCUUCCAAAGCCUUCACCCAUCUCUGGUGAAUAUAUCUAGGUCCAGCAGGGUCUCAGAAGCAGAUGCCAACCUGAGGGGAAUAUUUACCAGAUGACGUGAAGGCCGUGGAAAAAGAAGAAAUUGGAAAAUUCAUUAUUUAAGUGGUGUGUGUAAGUUGGAUACUCUCUAAAACGAUACCAGUAAUUUCUAAAAAAGAUCAGGGGGAAGAGAAUAAAUCUGGGUUUUACAGGCAGCUGUGAUGAGGGCUGGGUGACCAGCUGUGCCACAGCUGGCAAAUGUGUCUACACGUAGUAGUGGCAUCUGUUUGCAGUAUGACAGGAGAGGGUGCCUCUUUUAGGUACAAAGGAAGAUAGGAAUUAUCACAGAACUUCAUACCACAUAAAAGGUCCUGUCUCUUACUUCCAUUACCCCAGUAUAUUAUUUGCAAGUCUG
rnacentral:lncRNA from 1 species